CCUUAUAUUUGGUUUGGUGUUAACGGUUAUAACCUUUUGAGAGAUUUGUUAUCUAUGAAUACCGAAUCACGUAUAGCCUUGCUCCAGUAUUUUAACGUCAGUUAAAAGAAUGAGAGCAAGAGUGGAACAAUAAAGCCUAUGAAGAUUUCAACAAAGUUUUUUGCAACUCAAUCUUAAUUUAAAAGUUAUAUAAUGACCUUUCAAGAAGAAAAUUUAGUUGCCAAGCUCGCAACUUUAACCAACACCGCGGUAAGUAUUCAGAUGGUAGCUACUUGGAUUAUUUACCAUAGAAGGGCUUCAGAAAAAAUUGCGCAAACUUGUCUAUCAACCGCCUUGCAAAGUUAUGAUCCAGAAAAACUUUACACUUAUCUUUGUUUGUUUAAUGAUGUUCUGCAAAGAGGCAAAAAGAAUGGUCCCGAAUUUUCUCAUUCAUUUUCUUCUGAAGUGCUGUUACCUAUAUUUAAACACACCGCAAAAAUUUGUAAAGGAACAGUUUUUGUGCAGAAAGUGUUCAGAUUAUUAUUGGUCUGGCAAGAGAGAAACGUUGUUGCCACAAACUUAAUAUUAGAGCUGUUUCAAUAUUUUAACACAGGCCCUGAAAAAACUGGCUAUGGACAAAAAAACGGCAGUAAAGAAAAUAUUGAAUUAGAAAAAGCAUUUGACCAAUUUCCUAGAGAUAUUCUGGAUAAAAAAAUUGUUGAAUUAAAUAAGGAAUUAUUGAAAAACCUUAGUCUUUCUGGAAAAGUGAAUGAUAUUUCUGAAUUGGUCUAUUCAAAGGAAUAUAUUUCAUCUAUAAAUGAAAGUGAUGCUGCAAAUGUUUGGUUGGAUAAGCUACAGAGUGCCACGAUGACAGUCGCAAGUUUUAGAGAUUCACUUUUACGGCAGGUUUAUCUACACUGCCGCCUUUGCUUUUAUUUCCAUGUUAUCUGGACUAUUCGAAGUUAUACAGGAGCUACAAAAACACUGUGAAUUGCAGAUUUCCAGGACUAAACUACUAGUUGAAAGGCAGGAAACUAACUUGAACAGUUUACAAGAAAACAUUAUCACAUUAACCUACCAGACUUCCGUUGACUUAAAGAAGAAACGCAAGGCUGUUGGCCCUGAAGAUAAUACACUAGGACAUAAAAGAUCUGCCAUUGAGAGCAGCUCGGAAUUGAAGGACUAUAGUUGAGUUUAGGCUUUAAUAACGGCUAUGAAAAGCCUUUUUUUAAUGGUUAACGGUAGCCAUGCGACUCUUGCACUCUUUUAAGGAUAUGGUCCUUUAAAUUUAAAAAAUUUCCCACACUUUAUUGUUCACUCUCUCGCUUACCCACAGCUUACUUACUUUAUUAAAUUUGUUAAUAAUAUUUUCGUCCGUCUCAAACUUUAUCGAAGUACAUCUACUACUAUGUCACAUUGACUUUUACAGUCAACCUGAACGGUUACGAUUAAGUAAGAGCCACAAGUUUGCGUAUAAUCUACC